rnacentral:rRNA from 1 species
AACGAACGCUGGCGGCAGGCCUAACACAUGCAAGUCGAGCGAGACCUUCGGGUCUAGCGGCGGACGGGUGAGUAACGCGUGGGAACGUGCCCUUUGGUACGGAAUAGCCCCGGGAAACUGGGAGUAAUACCGUAUAAGCUCUUCGGAGGAAAGAUUUAUCGCCAAAGGAUCGGCCCGCGUUGGAUUAGGUAGUUGGUGGGGUAAUGGCCUACCAAGCCGACGAUCCAUAGCUGGUUUGAGAGGAUGAUCAGCCACACUGGGACUGAGACACGGCCCACGACUCCUACGGGAGGCAGCAGUGGGGAA